rnacentral:rRNA from 1 species
UAGUCCACGCCCUAAACGAUGUCAACUGGUUGUUGGUCUUCACUGACUCAGUAACGAAGCUAACGCGUAAAGUUGCCGCUUGGGAAGUACGCCCGCAAGGUUAAACUCAAAGGAAUUGACGGGGACCCGCACAAGCGGUGGAUGAUGUGGUUUAAUUCGAUGCAACGCGAAAAACCUUACCCACCUUUGACAUGUACGGAAGAUCGCAGAGACGCGAUUGUGCUCGAAAGAGAACCGUAACACAGGUGCUGCAUGGCUGUCGUCAGCUCGUGUCGUGAGAUGUUGGGUUAAGUCCCGCAACGAGCGCAACCCUUGCCAUUAGUUGCUACAUUCAGUUGGGCACUCUAAUGGGACUGCCGGUGACAAACCGGAGGAAGGUGGGGAUGACGUCAAGUCCUCAUGGCCCUUAUAGGUGGGGCUACACACGUCAUACAAUGGCUGGUACAAAGGGUUGCCAACCCGCGAGGGGGAGCUAAUCCCAUAAAGCCAGUCGUAGUCCGGAUCGUAGUCUGCAACUCGACUACGUGAAGUCGGAAUCGCUAGUAAUCGUGGAUCAGAAUGUCACGGUGAAUACGUUCCCGGGUCUUGUACACACCGCCCGUCACACCAUGGGAGCGGGUUCUGCCAGAAGUAGUUAGCCUAACCGCAAGGAGGGCGAUUACCACGGCAGGGUUCGUGACUGGGGUGAAGUCGUAACAAGGUAACC